rnacentral:rRNA from 1 species
AUUACACAAAUAUGAAGGCGGGCUGGAACCUCUCGGGGUUACAGCCUUGCUGAAUUAUUCACCCUUGUCUUUUGCGUACUUCUUGUUUCCUUGGUGGGUUCGCCCACCACUAGGACAAACAUAAACCUUUUGUAAUUGCAAUCAGCGUCAGUAACAAAUUAAUAAUUACAACUUUCAACAACGGAUCUCUUGGUUCUGGCAUCGAUGAAGAACGCAGCGAAAUGCGAUAAGUAGUGUGAAUUGCAGAAUUCAGUGAAUCAUCGAAUCUUUGAACGCACAUUGCGCCCUUUGGUAUUCCAAAGGGCAUGCCUGUUCGAGCGUCAUUUGUACCCUCAAGCUUUGCUUGGUGUUGGGCGUCUUGUCUCUAGCUUUGCUGGAGACUCGCCUUAAAGUAAUUGGCAGCCGGCCUACUGGUUUCGGAGCGCAGCACAAGUCGCACUCUCUAUCAGCAAAGGUCUAGCAUCCAUUAAGCCUUUUUUUCAACUUUUGACCUCGGAUCAGGUAGGGAUACCCGCUGAACUUAAGCAUAUCAAUA